ACAACAAGGCAAGGUGACAUGCAAGAUGUGUAACUUUAGCUCACUACUAGUGUUCGCCUCCAGUCUUUACUUUGUUAUGCCUCCAGCUAACACCGUGACGUAAUCAUGACGUCGGCUGUGAAAGGGUCUAUAGCUAAUAAUCAUGGGACUGUAAAAGUAGCAUGUGAUGAUAUGCUUGAUUCACGUAGAAACACAUGGCGAGGCACAAAGACGG